UACAGAGGUCUCGAGCGUUAAUCGGAGUUACUGGGCUUAAAGGGUGCGUAGGCGGCGCUGUAAGUGCCUUGUGAAAUCCCAUGGCUUAACCAUGGAAUUGCUCGGCAGACUGCAGUGCUUGAGGUCGGUAGGGGUCGCUGGAACUCUAGGUGGAGCGGUGAAAUGCGUAGAUAUCUAGAGGAACGCCAAAGAUGUAGACAGGCGACUGGGCCGAUUCUGACGCUGAGGCACGAAAGCGUGGGUAGCGAACGGG
rnacentral:rRNA from 1 species